rnacentral:rRNA from 1 species
GACGAACUGUCCAAACGUUGUUCGGAAUUACUGGGCGUAAAGGGUUUGUAGGUGGCUUGUUAAGUCAGACGUGAAAUCCCUCAGCUUAACUGGGGAACUGCGUCUGAUACUGGCGAGCUUGAGUGCAGGAGAGGAACGCGGAAUUCCAGGUGUAGCGGUGAAAUGCGUAGAUAUCUGGAGGAACACCGGUGGCGAAGGCGGCAUCCUGGACCAACACUGACACUGAGGAGCGAAAGCCAGGGGAGCAAACGGG